rnacentral:rRNA from 1 species
UACAGAGGUCUCAAGCGUUGUUCGGAUUCACUGGGCGUAAAGGGCGCGCAGGCGGCCCAGUGUGUCAGGUGUGAAAUCCCGGGGCUCAACCCCGGAACUGCAUUUGAUACUGCGUGGCUCGGGUACUGGAGAGGAGACUGGAAUUUACGGUGUAGCAGUGAAAUGCGUAGAUAUCGUAAGGAAGACCAGUGGCGAAGGCGAGUCUCUGGACAGUUACCGACGCUGAGGCACGAAGGUCAGGGGAGCAAACGGG